rnacentral:rRNA from 1 species
AAACUUAAAGGAAUUGAGGGCCCCGCACAAGCAGCGGAGCGUGUGGCUUUAAUUCGUUUGCUACACGAAGAACCUUACCUGGGUUUGACAUAUAGGUUGUAGGGAACUGAAAAGGGACCGACCUUCGGGAGCCUAUACAGGUGUUGCAUGGCUGUCGUCAGCUCGUGUCGUGAGAUGUUCGGUUAAGUCCGCUAACGAGCGCAACCCUCGUCGUAUGUUAUAUGUGUCAUACGAGACUGCCGGUAAAAGCCGGAGGAAGGUGAGGAUGAUGUCAAGUCAGCAUGACCUUUAUAUCCAGGGCUACACACACGCUACAAUGGUCUGUACAAUGGGUAGCCAAGCCGCGAGGCGGAGCCAAUCCUGAAAGUUGGUCUCAGUUCAGAUUGCAGGCUGCAACCCGCCUGCAUGAAGAUGGAGUUGCUAGUAACCGCAGGUCAGCUAUACUGCGGCGAAUACGUUCCCGGGGCUU